GCCUAACACAUGCAAGUCGAACGGUAACAGGAAACAGCUUGCUGUUUCGCUGACGAGUGGCGGACGGGUGAGUAACACGCAGGUGAUCUGCCGAUCAGACGGGGACAACGGUUGGAAACGAUCGCUAAUACCGGAUAGGACGAAAGUUUAAAGGUGCUUCUGGCACCGCUGAUGGAUGAGCCUGCGGCGCAUUAGCUAGUUGGUAGGGUAAAGGCCUACCAAGGCGACGAUGCGUAGCCGACCUGAGAGGGUGAACGGCCACACUGGGACUGAGACACGGCCCAGACUCCUACGGGAGGCAGCAGUAGGGAAUCUUCGGCAAUGGGCGAAAGCCUGACCGAGCAACGCCGCGUGAAUGAUGAAGGCCUUCGGGUUGUAAAAUUCUGUUAUAAGGGAAGAACGACUUUAGUAGGAAAUGGCUAGAGUGUGACGGUACCUUAUGAGAAAGCCACGGCUAACUACGUGCCAGCAGCCGCCGUAA
rnacentral:rRNA from 1 species